rnacentral:rRNA from 1 species
CCAGCAGCCGCGGUAAUACGGGAGUGGCAAGCGUUAUCCGGAAUUAUUGGGCGUAAAGCGUCCGCAGGCGGCCCUUCAAGUCUGCUGUUAAAAAGUGGAGUUUAACUCCAUCAUCGCAGUGGAAACUGUUGGGCUUGAGUGUUGUAGGGGCAGAGGGAAACACCGGUGCAGCGCCGAAAUGCGUAGAUGUCCCAAAGAACACCACUAGAGAAGGCGUCCUGCUGGCCCAUCACUGACGCUCAUGGAUG